rnacentral:rRNA from 1 species
GAUGAACGCUGGCGGCGUGCCUAACACAUGCAAGUCGAGCGGGAAGCGAGGGAUGAAGAUUUCGGUUGGAUUUCCUUGUGGAGAGCGGCGGACGGGUGAGUAACGCGUAGACAACCUGCCCCUUUCGCAGGGAUAGCCGCGGGAAACCGCGAUUAAUACCUGAUGAUUCCAUGGAGCCGCAUGGUUCCGUGGGCAAAGAUUUAUCGGAGAGGGAUGGGUCUGCGUCCGAUUAGGUAGUUGGCGGGGUAACGGCCCACCAAGCCCACGAUCGGUAGCCGGCCUGAGAGGGCGAUCGGCCACAUUGGAACUGAGACACGGUCCAAACUCCUACGGGAGGCAGCAGUGGGGAAUAUUGCACAAUGGGGGAAACCCUGAUGCAGCAACGCCGCGUGGGCGAAGAAGGCCCUAUGGGUCGUAAAGCCCUUAUCCGGGGGACGAAGAAGUGACGGUACCCCGGGAGAAAGCCCCGGCUAACUACGUGCCAGCAGCCGCGGUAAUACGUAGGGGGCAAGCGUUAUCCGGAUUUAUUGGGCGUAAAGGGUGCGUAGGUGGCCCGGCAAGCGAGCGGUCUAAGGCAACGGCUCAACCGUUGUUCGCCGUUCGAACUGUCAGGCUUGAGUGCAGGAGGGGAAAGCGGAACUCCCAGUGUAGCGGUGAAAUGCGUAGAUAUUGGGAAGAACACCGGCGGCGAAGGCGGCUUUCUGGACUGUUACUGACACUGAGGCACGAAAGCGUGGGGAGCAAACAGGAUUAGAUACCCUGGUAGUCCACGCCGUAAACGAUGAGCGCUAGGUGUCGGGGCCUAUAAAGCCUCGGUGCCGCAGCCAACGCAUUAAGCGCUCCGCCUGGGGAGUACGCGCGCAAGGUUGAAACUCAAAGGAUUUGACGGGGGCCCGCACAAGCGGUGGAGUAUGUGGUCUAAUUAGACGCAACGCGAAAAACCUUACCUGGGCUUGAAGUGGUAAUGGUAAAAACUCGAAACAGCAAUGACCCGCAAGGGAGUUCGUAGAGGUCCCCCAUCGCUGUAGUCAGCUCGUGUCGUGAGAUGUUGGGGUAAGUAAAAAAACGAGCGCAACCCUUAUUCUGCGUUACCUGUAGCGAUACAGGGUUUCUGAGGAAACUGCCAUUGAUAAAAUGGAGGAAGGUGAGGAGCACGUCAAGUCAUCAUGGCCUUUAUGUCCAGGGCUACACACGUACUUCAAUGACCGGUACAGAGGGCACAGCGAUAUUGUAAAAUGGAGCAAAUCCUUAAAGCCGACCUCAGUUCAGAUUGUGGGCUGCAAUUCGCCCACAUGAAGUAGGAAUCGCUAGUAAUCGCAGAUCAGCAGGCUGCGGUGAAUACGUUCCCGGGCCUUGUACACCCCGCCCGUCACACUACGAAAGUCAGUUAUAACAGAAGUCGUUGAGCUAACCGCAAGGAGGCUAAUCCUUACGUUAUGACUGGUGAUUGGAGUG